AAGAAUAUAAUUUAAUGGUAAAAUAGGAAGCUUCAAACUUCAAAUUCUCAGUUCAAGUCUGAGUGUUCUUG
rnacentral:tRNA from 1 species